UACGUAGGUGACAAGCGUUGUCCGGAUUUACUGGGCGUAAAGCGUGCGCAGGCGGCUUUGCAAGGCAGAUGUGAAAUCCCCGGGCUCAACCUGGGAACUGCAUCCGAGACUGCAUUGCUAGAGUAUGGGAGAGGGAAGCGGAAUUUCUGGUGUAGCAGUGAAAUGCGUAGAUAUCAGAAGGAACAUCAGUGGCGAAGGCGGCUUCCUGGACCAAUACUGACGAUCAGGUGCGAAAGCGUGGGGAGCAAACAGG
rnacentral:rRNA from 1 species